CUAAUAUCGCCUAGGGAUAGGGGUAGGACGAUCAAUUGUAUUUUGCUUCCGUUCGCAUUGCGUUAUUGGUUACUAGGGGAGGCUAGGGAUAACAAGCCGGUAAUUAAUAAUAGGCUCUUUUCACCAAGGGAUUGGGUUAAGGGUAGGCUAGAAAGUUUGCAUGGCAAUUAGAUAAAUAAGUGAAGUAAAUAAGAAAAGUAAAUAUAUGAGAGUGGAUAAGAUGAAAUUGUAAACCCCAGCAACACCAUUCAUCCAUAGUUUUUCAAAGCCAAUUGAAUCAACUGCAUUUGCAUGUUUAUUUUUGUUCUUUGCAUACAACCACCAACUUAAUUCUUUUCUCAAGUCUUACGCGAUUUGUUUACAUGAAAAGUAAGGC
rnacentral:lncRNA from 1 species